AAUUGGCUUAAUCUCAGCUGGCAACUGUGAGCGGUUAAUAAAUUAUCUCACAGUGGUCUCUGGGAUUAUGCUAAAC
rfam:Xenopus laevis strain J chromosome 5L, whole genome shotgun sequence.